AAUAUUGCACAAUGGGGGAAACCCCGAUGCAGCGACGCCGCGUCAGCGCAGAAGGCCUUCGGGUCGUAAAGCUCAGUCCUCAGGGAAGAAAGGGACGGUACCUUAGGAGGAAGCCCCGGCGAACUACGUCCCAGCAGCCGCGGUAAUACGUAGGGGGCAAGCGUUAGCCGGAAUUAUUGGGCGUAAAGGGUGGGUAGGCGGCCUUUUAAGUCAGAUGUGAAAGGCUACGGCUUAACCGUAGUUAGCAUUUGAAACUAAAAGGCUUGAGUGCAGGAGAGGAGAGUGGAAUUCCUAGUGUAGCGGUGAAAUGCGUAGAUAUUAGGAGGAACACCAGUGGCGAAGGCGACUCUCUGGACUGCAACUGACGCUGAGGCACGAAAGCGUGGGGAGCGAACAG
rnacentral:rRNA from 1 species